CCCUCCGCCUUCGGCGUCUGUGGCUCUGCUUCUAACACUUCCUCUUUCCCCAGUUCACUGGCUCCGGCUUCCGCAGCUUCGACCACGGCCACUCCCAGGGUGCUGCCUCUGCGCUUCUGCUUCCAUGGGUCCCACCAAGCACAAACUGAAACUCACCAAGACAUAAAUCCCACGCGGGGGUCCAGCCCUGUGCAGCAGUGUCACUGGCUCCACGUUGCAUGGUUCAAUGCCAUCAAGGACGUGCGUCAUCCUUCCUCGGGGACCAAUCUGGGGACGUGGCACGGGGAGCUGGAAAGCACGUUGGGAAACAGGGCUUGCGACAAUUCUCCAAGUCAACGCUGGGCUAAAGCAGCCUAUCCCAGCGGGCUGGCACUCGCCAUCGGGUUUCCUUGCACUCCAGUCAGCCGGAUGGACAGCCCUACUCAGAGACAGCCCCACAGCCCCUGCUGCUCUCCAGCCAGGAUGUCGUCACGGUACGAUUCUGACUCCAUCAAAACACAUCUGAUUCCUACUGGAGCAAGUUCUCAGACCCAGACGCCGGGUCUGAGGUCACAGACACUCUAAGUCACACAUGCAGGCAACACCCGCCUCCAGCAAAUACAUGGAACCCAGCUUCACUUGCUUUUUUUUUUUUUUUUUUUUUUUUUUUUUUUUUUUUUUUUUUUUGACAGGCAGAGUGGACAGUGAGAGAGAGAGACAGAGAGAAAGGUCUUCCUUUGCCGUUGUUCACCCUUCAAUGGCCGCCACGGCCGGCGCACCGCGCUGAUCCGAUGGCAGGAGCCAGGAGCCAGGUGCUUCUCCUGGUCUCCCAUGGGGUGCAGGGCCCAAGCACUUGGGCCAUCCUCCACUGCACUCCCUGGCCACAGCAAAAAGCUGGCCUGGAAAA
rnacentral:lncRNA from 1 species